rnacentral:rRNA from 1 species
CCUACGGGAGGCUGCAGUAGGGAAUAUUGCUCAAUGGAGGAAACUCUGAAGCAGCAACACCGCGUGGAGGAUGAAGGUUUUCUGAUUGUAAACCUCUUUUGUUAGAGAAGAUAAUGACGGUAUGUAACUAAUAAUCACCGGCUAAUUCCGUUCCAGCAGGCGCGGUAAUACGGAGGGUGCAAGCGUUACUCGGAAUCACUGGGCGUAAAGAGCGCGUAGGCGGGAUAGCAAGUCAGAUGUGAAAUCCUAUGGCUUAACCAUAGAACUGCAUUUGAAACUGUUAGUCUAGAGUAUAGGAGAGGUAGGUGGAAUUCUUGGUGUAGCGGUAAAAUCCGUAGAGAUCAAGAGGAAUACUCAUUGCGAAGGCGACCUGCUAGAACAUAACUGACGCUGAGGCGCGAAAGCGUGGGGAGCAAACAGGAUUAGAUACCCUUGUAGUC